CGAUUUUUUAUUGCGAUUUAGGUUGCAACGCUAGUUGCAAUAGGGGUUUCUAUGUAAAAUUCCGUAAAAAUACAAAAAAAAAAACUGUUUUGAAGUGUAAAAAUAAAAAAUGCUCUAAAAAUUAUCUCAUAUACAAUAAUACAAACAUUGCUAAAUAUGUGGUAAUUGUAAAGGUUAUGGGCAUAGUAUGGUGGAUUGUAGGAAAAUAGGGCCAAAGGAAUGGGUCAAGAAGAGUGAGCAUAAGGCUGUAGGUGUUGAAACUGAUAAGCCAAACCAGACAAAGGCUCCCUCAACCACAGCAGAGAUAACUUUGCAUGAAGGAGUCUUUGAUGGGGCUGAGGUCGAUGCUGAAAAGGAAAAUUCACAAUCUGUCAUCACUCCAAAGCAGGGUAAAAGUAAUGAAUGGGAGGUUCCUAGGAAGGUUGGGAAUUCUAAGAUUAAAGGCAAAGCGGUGUUAACUGAUCUUACCAAGGUGCAUAAUGGCUUUAAUGUGCUACAAAAACAAGGGAAGGGUGCUAUAAAUGGGGAAGCUUUCCAAUCCGUUUCUAAUGGAUCGCAACAACAUCAUUAGCUGGAAUGUCAGAGGGUUGAAUAAAAGGGACAAGCAACAUGAUGUCCUGAGUCUCUUGAAAGUGAAUAAAGUGGGAGUGGGAGCUUUACUGGAGAAUAAAAUGAAGACCUCUAAAGUUGAUGACAUGAUGGAUAAGGUAUUCAUUGGCUGGGAUUUUCAUAUGAGUAAUGUUACUGAAAAAUGUAUAGUGGUUAUCUGGCUUAAAAACUUUGUUCAGUGACUGUGUUACAUGAACACAAGCAGUUUGUGCACUACCUUGUGAAAAUCCUGAGUGUUCAACGCUCGUUUCUUAUAACAUUUGGGUAUGGUCUCAACACCAUAAAGGAGAGGAAGGAGCUUUGGGUUGGGCUGUCCAAGUUGCAAAUGCCUAUCAAACCUUAGCUUAUAGUUGGAGACUUUAAUGCUAUCUACAACUAUGAUGACAGGUUAAGAGGCAAGGCUGUUAAUUCGCUUGAGAUUGAUGAUUUCACAGCUUGGAUUGCUUAAUCCUAGGUGGCUAUGCUCAAGAGUGUUGGCUCUAAGUUCACUUGGUGCAAUAAAAAAGAUGGUGGUGAUAGGGUCUACUCUAGGAUUGAUCAUGCUUUCUCUAAUGAAGAUUGGGUGGAUGAAGUUUCUAAUUCGGUUGCUAAAUUUCAUUGGGAGGUGGUUUCAGAUCAUUGAUUUUGCCUCAUAAAACCUCACAAGAAGUGGAAUAUAGGGAUCAAGCCUUUUAGAUUUUAUAACAUGUGGACUGCCCAUAAGAAUUUUAAGGAAAUGGUUAAGACCAACUGGAACAAGCCGCUAGGAGCAAAGGGGUUAAAACGCAUUAUGUUGAAGUUGCAUCGCCUCAAGCAUGCUCUUAAAGUCUUCAAUAGGAAGGAAAUAGGGGAUGUUGAAAUGAGCUACCAUCUUGCUAAGAAGGAGUAUCAACAAGCUAUUACUUGUGCUCAAGCUGAUCCUACGAAUCACGAUUUGCAGGUGAAUGAAAAAAUGGCAGCAAGCAGGUUCUCUACUCAUGCUGAAAUGAGGUUCUCUACUCAUGUUGAAAUGUACAGAAGCUUUCUUGUGCAAUGCAGAAAAAUCACCUGGUUGCAAAAAGGUGAUGACAAUAACUCUUAUUUCCAUGCUUGUAUUAAAAAACGAAGGAGGAAAAUUGGAUUGUCUCCUACCAGAAUGAUCAGGGUAGUUGAUGGAUGAUUAUAAAGAGGUUGUAAAACACUUCUUAGAGCAUUUUAGAAGCUAUUUGGGAAGUCCUAGCUCUGCUUCAACUCAGUUCAAUUCUCAAUGCAUAGAGAAGGGUCUUUGUUUAAGUAUUGAGAUGCAGCUGAAUCUAAUCAGAGAUUUCCAUAAGUCUGAUGUUAAAAAAGCUCUCUUUAGCAUUGCUAGCUCCAAAAGCCCUAGGACGGAUGGUUACGGUUCUGAAUUUUACAAAGCAAUGUAGCUUGACUUGGGAGAUGAAAUAUUUGAACCUAUGCUUGAUUUUUUCAAAUCUGGAUCUUAUCAAGAAUUACAAUAGAAAGAAUACUUCCCCGAGAUGUGCUCUAAAGAUAGACCUGUGCAAAGCUUAUGACACUGUCGAUUGGGACUUCUUGGAGCGCCUUCUUACCAACUUGCGGUUUCCUACGAGGUUCAUUAACUGGAUUAUGGUAUGUCUUCGAGACACUUCGUAUAUGCUUAUGAUGAAUGGUAGUUUGCAAGGGACUUUUAAAAGGAGUGAAGUGUUUGUGUCAAGGAGACUCUAUCUCCCCUUUGCUUUUUAUCCUAAUCAUGGAAUAUCUUACUCGCUUGCUUCAGUUUGGGACUCAGAAUAACGAAUUUAGAUUCCAUCCCAUGUGCAAAAGCCUCAAGAUCAUCAAUUUAUGUUUUGUUGAUGAAUUGAUUAUCUUUCGCAAGGCUAACCGAGCUUCUGUUGCUUAUAUUAAAGGGAUUUUUGACAUCUUCUAUAACUGUACAGGUUUAAAAGCUAAUAUUAGCAAAUCCCAGGUCUAUUUUGGUGGUGUUCCUAAAGAAGAAAAAAGGGCCUUGCUCCAUAUUUUACAGUUUGAAGAAGGUUUACUUCCGUUGAAGUAUCUCGGGGUCCCUAUGAGACCAACGAAUUGGAAAGCGGAGGAUUGUGGGGCCAUAAUCAAGAAGAUCAAACUUAGACUCCAUUCUUGGGCUAAUAGACAUCUUUCUUAUGCCGGGAGAUGUCAACUCAUAAAUUUGGUUCUCUUGGAGCUUCGAAACUAUUGGAUGAACAUCUUCUUGCUUCCUAAAAGCAUUAUUAAAGAGGUUGACAAGCUUUGCUUAUGAUUCUUAUGGGGAAACAAUGGAUCUAGAAGCAAUUUUCACCUCACGGCUUGGUCCAAAGUUUGCUUACCAAAAAUCUUUGGUGGAUUGGGUUUUGGAGAUGGAACAAAUUGGAACAAAGCUAUGCUUGGUGAGUACAUUUGGGCUAUUAGUCAUCAACAAGAUACGUUGUGGGUUAAAUGAAUCAAUUCGGUCUAUUUAAAAGGCUAAAAUUUCUGGAGCUACCAACUUAAUCUUGAUUCAAGUUGGUAUUGGUGCAAAUUGUGCCAUUUCGAGAGCAUUUCUCUCAGCAGGUCAUUGACACUGCUGGUCAUGCUUGGAAGUUUAAAAUUGGUCGGUUUUACUCUAAUCAAAUUGAGCUUUAGAAGGUCAAAAAUUAUAACUUUGUUUGGAACAAUUUUAGUGUGCCAAAGCAUUGUUUCAUUGUUUGGCUGGCUGUCUGUGGCAAGCUUCUCAGAAGGGAUAACUUGGGAUUUGUGAUUCCUAGUGUGGAAGGCGACUGCCCUGUUUGUGAGGAGAUGGCUGAGAACCAUUGCCAUUUAUUUUUAAGGUGUGAGUUCUCCCUCAAAGUUGUGAAGCUGUUUCAAGACUGGUUAGGCUGAUUUUGGCCUCUCGAUUAUGAACCUUGGAAGCUUUGGAUUGAAAGCUUGGACAAAGGUUAUUUUGUAAAAGUUGUUGCCGCUAGCUGCUCUGUCAUCAUCUAUCAUAUUUGGCUUAAUAGGAAUGCUUGUUUUUUUAACAGCUACUCUUAUACUGUAUAUGAGAUUGUAAAUAGGAUAAAAAAGGACGUGAUAUAUAGAGUUAAUAGUUACUCUUAUAGGAAGUUUUUCUAUAUGUUAGAGUCCUGUAGCUAGCGUUUUUGCUUGCUGAUGUCCUUUGUAGCUGUAUUGUAGCUCUUUGUGGUUUGUGAUUAAUAGAUUUCCUUCUUUUUGAUAAAAGAAAAA